CCUCCCAAGUCUGCGCACCUUGAAAGCCUGCGUUGUAUUCUAGUCACCACAAACCUGAACAGCAUUGUGCAAUAUCACUGGGAAAUAUAAUGAUGACAGUCAUGAUAAUAAUUUGCUCCUGGCUUUCCUUAUUCAAGUUCGCGUACUCUCACAGUCUUGAAUUACAGAAAGGAUAUUUUCUCCCCCAGACAUUUUUUUCUUCAGAACUAAGGUAAACAGAAUGGAGAAGCUGCCAAGUGGAAACUUACAGCAGAUGAUAAUCAUAUUUAGAAGCUAGAACCAAUACUUUACAUGCUUAUGUUUCCCCAAACAUUUAGCUUAAGUUGACAUCCUGCUUGUAUAACUGUUUUAACUGCAUAAUACAGACUAAAAAUUGCUUGCUUUUAAAUAUACGUACCCUUUUAAAACUUUAAACCAGAGUUCUAAGCUUGGAGAUAUUGAGGAAGAGAAAUACUUUAAAAGACUAGACGCCAUGCUAGCAAUGCAUGGGUGAGCUCAGAUUAAAGGCAAGUUCAUUUGUACUUGCAGGCCGAGUCAUCUGAAUUAUCAUUGUUACAUCUACAUGUCCUGAGCUAAAUAGAUUACUAAAUCAAAAAAACGAGUUACUAAAUAACAAGUACAGUAUCGUAUUUUUUCCAUAUAAAAUAUGCAUGAAAAAUGUCUGAAAAGAAAUGCAUUGAAAUGUUCACAGUGGUGCCAUCUGGGUGAUAGAACUUCCAUUCUCUUAUACUAUUCAGAUUAAAUACUCCUGUUAUGAAUAUGGAUUCAUUUUGGAACCAGGAAAAAUAAAAUAAUUUUAUUUUUGAAAUUUAAAAAAAGAACAAAUAGGGAAUUCCCUGUCCGUCCAGUGGUAAGGACUCCACACUUCCACUGCAGGGGGCAUGGGUCCAAUCCCUGGUCUAAGAUCCCACAUGCCGCAUGGGGUGACCAGAAUAUAAAUAAAUACAUAAAUACAAAUAUUUUUCAAAAGAAAAAAUAUGGCCUCUUGUAGACAUUUGGCUUAGUAUGCUUAUCAUGUGCAGUAAAUUAAGCCCCACCUCCAGCACAUCAGAGUCAUCUGGAGGGCUUGUUAAAGCACAGAUCACAUGACUCCACCCCCACUGUUUCUGAUCUAAUAGGUCUGUGGUGGGGACUAAAUCCCACAUUUCUAACAAUUCCUAGAUGAAGUUGAUGCUGUUGGUCUUGUGACUACACAGUAUUAACCACAUCCCUAUUUCUUGAUAACCAAGGUAGACUUUUAACAGAUGAAGGCAUGGUCUCCUUGAGGUUACUGAUCUCAUAUUUUCCCACAGUGCCUGGAGAGAAAUGGGCAUCCUAUAGAUAGGAGGUAGUUGGUAAGGAUAGUUUUUUCUGUCACUGCCUUUUCACAGCAGCAGAUUAAAUGGCUUUUUCCCCUCUUAAAGAAGCUGUAAUAUCCCAGUUACACCCCAUAACAAUAACUGCCUUUUAAGGAAAAUGAUCCAAACCAAGUUUCUUUCUGUAAGAGUUUCUGUUUCUCAUGCCUGUGGUUAAGUGAAAUCAAAACUACAACUACAGGGGCUUCCCUGGUGGCGCAGUGGUUGAGAGUCCGCCUGCCGAUGCAGGGGACGCGGGUUCGUGCCCCGGUCCGGGGGGAUCCCACGUGCCACGGAGCGGCUGGGCCCGUGAGCCAUGGCCGGUGAGCCUGUGUGUUCAGAGCCUGUGCUCCGCAGCAGGAGAAGCCACAACAGUGAGAGGCCUGAGUACCGC
rnacentral:lncRNA from 1 species